AUUGAACGCUGGCGGCAGGCCUAACACAUGCAAGUCGAACGAGGGGCGGAGGGGUGAGCAAUGUCGGGGAAAGCCCUUGAUGGAGGGGGAUAAAUAAUGAAAAGGGUAGCAAAACCCGCAUACCAUCCGACGGGCCCCGAUGGGAUGGGCUUGAGGGUGGGGUAACGUCCCCCCAAGGCGACGAUCCCUAGCUGGUCAGAGAGGAUGACCAGCCACACUGGUACUGAGACACGGUCCAGACUCCUACGGGAGGCAGCAGUGGGGAAUAUUGCACAAUUGGCGCAAGCCUGAUGCAGCCAUGCCGCGUGUAUGAAGAAGGCCUUCGGGUUGUAAAGUACUUUCAGCGGGGAGGCGUUACCCGCAGAAGAAGCACCGGCUAACUCCGUGUCAGCAGCCGCGGUAAUUC
rnacentral:rRNA from 1 species